rnacentral:rRNA from 1 species
UGGGGAAUAUUGGACAAUGGGCGAAAGCCUGAUCCAGCCAUGCCGCGUGAGUGAUGGAGGCCCUAGGGUUGUAAAGCUCUUUUGUGCGGGAAGAUAAUGACGGUACCGCAAGAAUAAGCCCCGGCUAACUUCGUGCCAGCAGCCGCGGUAAUACGAAGGGGGCUAGCGUUGCUCGGAAUCACUGGGCGUAAAGGGUGCGUAGGCGGGUUUCUAAGUCAGAGGUGAAAGCCUGGAGCUCAACUCCAGAACUGCCUUUGAUACUGGAAGUCUUGAGUUCGGGAGAGGUGAGUCGAACUGCGAGUGUAGAGGUGAAAUUCGUAGAUAUUCGCAAGAACACCAGUGGCGAAGGCGGCUCACUGGCCCGAUACUGACGCUGAGGCACGAAAGCGUGGGGAGCAAACA